rnacentral:rRNA from 1 species
GACGGAGGGUGCAAGCGUUGUUCGAAUUGACUGGGCGUAAAGGGCGUGUAGGCGGUCGGCCAAGUCUGAUGUGAAAGCCCGAGGCUCAGCCUCGGAAGUGCGUCGGAAACUAGUCGGCUGGAGCGCGAUAGAGGAGGGUGGAAUUCCUGGUGUAGCGGUGGAAUGCGUAGAUAUCAGGAGGAACACCGGCGGCGAAGGCGGCCCUCUGGAUCGUUGCUGACGCUGAGACGCGAAAGCGUGGGGAGCAAACAGG